GAACCGGCGAUGACGAGCUUUCGU
rnacentral:siRNA from 1 species